rnacentral:rRNA from 1 species
ACGAACGCUGGCGGCGUGCCUAAUACAUGCAAGUCGAACGGUCUUUUCUAUGGAAGCUUGCUUCCACUGAGAAGAUAGUGGCGAACGGGUGAGUAACACGUGGGUAACCUGCCCAUAAGAGGGGGAUAACAUCCGGAAACGGGUGCUAAUACCGCAUAGUUUUCUUGAUCGCAUGAUCGGGAAAGGAAAGACGGCCUUUGUGCUGUCGCUUAUGGAUGGACCCGCGGCGUAUUAGUUAGUUGGUGAGGUAAUGGCUCACCAAGACGAUGAUACGUAGCCGACCUGAGAGGGUGAUCGGCCACAUUGGGACUGAGACACGGCCCAAACUCCUACGGGAGGCAGCAGUAGGGAAUCUUCCGCAAUGGACGAAAGUCUGACGGAGCAACGCCGCGUGAGUGAAGAAAGGUUUUCGGAUCGUAAAACUCUGUUGUCAGAGAAGAACAAGUUGGAGAGUAACUGCUCCAGCCUUGACGGUAUCUGACCAGAAAGCCACGGCUAACUACGUGCCAGCCGCCGC